UACGUAGGGUGCAAGCGUUGUCCGGAAUUAUUGGGCGUAAAGAGCUCGUAGGCGGUUUGUCGCGUCUGCUGUGAAAACUCAGGGCUUAACCCUGAGCCUGCAGUGGGUACGGGCAGACUAGAGUGUGGUAGGGGAGAUCGGAAUUCCUGGUGUAGCGGUGGAAUGCGCAGGAUAUCAGGAGGAACACCGGUGGCGAAGGCGGAUCUC
rnacentral:rRNA from 1 species